rnacentral:rRNA from 1 species
UUUUUCCGGUUGAUCCUGCCAGAGGCCACUGCUAUCGGGGUUUGACUAAGCCAUGCGAGUCGAGAGGUUUCUGACCUCGGCGUACUGCUCAGUAACACGUGGACAAUCUGCCCUGGAGAGGAGGAUAUCCCCGGGAAACUGGGAUUAAUACUCCAUAGUUCGUCUUAACUGGAAUGUUAUUCGAACGAAAGAUCCGUCGCUCCAGGAUGAGUCUGCGGCCGAUUAGGUAGUUGUUGGGGUAUUUGGUUCCAACAAGCCUUUCAUCGGUACGGGUUGUGGGAGCAAGAGCCCGGAGAUGGAUUCUGAGACACGAAUCCAGGCCCUACGGGGCGCAGCAGGCGCGAAAACUUUACCAUGCGGGCAACCGUGAUAAGGAAACCCCGAGUGCCAGCACAGGCUGGCUGUCCGCCAGUUUAAAUAACUGGUGAAGAAAGGGCCGGGCAAGACCGGUGCCAGCCGCCGCGGUAAUACCGGCGGCUCGAGUGGUGGCCGCUAUUACUGGGCUUAAAGGGUCCGUAGCUUGAUAACUGGGUCCCUUGAGAAAUCCGCCAGCUCAACUGGCGGGCGUUCAGGGGAAACUUGUUUUCUAGGGACCGGGAGAGGAGAGGGGAACUGCCGGGGUAGGAGUGAAAUCCUGUAAUCCCGGUGGGACCACCUAUGGCGAAGGCAUCUCACCAGAACGGGUCCGACAGUGAGGGACGAAAGCUGGGGGAGCAAACCGGAUUAGAUACCCGGGUAGUCCCAGCUGUAAACUAUGUGCGUUAGGUGUGUCAGUGACCACGUGUCACUGAGGUGCCGAAGGGAAACCGUGAAACGCACCGCCUGGGGAGUACGGUCGCAAGGCUGAAACUUAAAGGAAUUGGCGGGA